UUAUGUUAAAGUGGCCCAAGAAGAUACAGGAGGAUCCAUUGCCUAUUGCAUAUAGGAAAAGCUGCUCAACGAAAGAAAGGGAAACACGCAGCAAAGCGGAUCACAGGGAUUCCACACGCACUACAGGACGAGGAAAGGAUUGAAGCACAUCACAUACAGCAAGGACGGAAACGGAAGAGAAAUUGAAGAAGCAAAGGAAGGCAACGUGAAGAGCAAAGCAAUCCAUCUUGGGUNNNNNNNNNNNNNNNNNNNNNNNUUCUUUAAAUAUUAUGUCUAGCUAAAUUUACAUGAUUGGUCCUUAGGGGAUUCUAAUUGUUAUUUUUCUUGAACAAUGUGAUUAUCAUAUGAUAUGAUCAAUGAAUUACGAAGUUAGUUUCUUCAAUUAUUCCUUGUGUUUAAUGCUUUGCAUGACUUGAUCAAUUGUGUAAUGAUUUCAAUUAUUUGUUUUACUAUGACGAUAGGAAUGAAUGAUCGAUCUAGGAAUGAUUGAUCCAUUAACUUUCACUUAAGACAUUUCGGAUUGUUAAUUGAGAUUAAAAGAUUAAAGUUUAUAAACCUCAAUUGAUCAUAGAUUACCUAAGACAUUAGGAAUUGAUGAUCAAGAGAGAGGAUUAUGUUACCAAGACAUUGGGCAUAAUCAUUUUUGAUUUAAUCUAAUCGUGAAACUGAAUUGAGUAAUUUGUAAUCAUACAUGAAAUUACCAAGAGAAAUAGUAAUUAGAUGAACCAAA
rnacentral:lncRNA from 1 species